GGAGAGGUGAUACAGUCAUUUGGAGGAAAGAGGUUACUCUUGCUUUUUGAGUUUUCAGCAUUCUUGUGCUGAUUCUUUCUCAUCUUGGGUUGCUGUGGUAUGCUGGGGUUCCGCUUCAAUGCCUAGUCACCUCAGAUUUUCCUGUACCUGCAGGUAUCACCAGUGAAGCCUGCGAAGCAGCAAAGAUGGCAGUCUGCCCCGUCUUCUAGGAGCUCUGUCACAGGGAGACAAGCCGUGCUGUGCUGGCGGACCACUUCAGCUCAUGGUCACCUCAGACACUCUGAAGCCUGAAGGCUGGAACAACUAAAUUGCCCAAACAGCAAAUAUGACAGCAUCUACAGAAAUCAUUUUAUUUGAGUUAUGUAGCAAGAACCCAACUUAAGCAAAUAUAAAAUUUACAACUAAGUCACUAUUUGGAUAUUAAUGUGUAUGCUAAACUGAUUUGUUCAUGGGCUAGUCAGCUAUUCAUAUGAUCUUUACAAUUUUCUGAAUUCCAUUUUUUGGUUAAAAAAAGAAAACAAGCUGAUACUUUUAUCACUUUCUAAGAAACAUUUGAUUUAAAUUCUUAUGCCUUCAAUAUCUCAUGUAAAAUGCUAGUUUCAUUACUACUGUAAGUAAAUAUGUGUAAAACAGAAAGUAUCUGAGACAAGUCUCAAUCAGUUUUGAAGUUUAUUUGGCCAAGGUUAAGGAUAUGCCCAGAAGAAAUAAACAUGCAAUCACAGAAACAG
ensembl:lncRNA LINC02619 long intergenic non-protein coding RNA 2619